rfam:Oryza rufipogon genomic scaffold, chr02
AUAUUGUACUCCCUCCGUCCUAAAUAUUGUACUUUGAUCAUUCGUUUUAUUUGAAUUUUUUUUAAAAAAAAUUAAAAACAUAAGUCACGAGUAAAAUACUAUUUAUAUUUUAUUAUCUCAUAACAACAAAAAUGCUAAUUAUAAAAAAAUUUUAAAUAAGACGGACGAUCAAAGUUGAGCGUGGAAACUAAUAGCUGCACUUAUU